rnacentral:rRNA from 1 species
UCUGGUUGAUCCUGGCAGAGGCUAUUGCUAUCAGGGUUUGACUAAGCCAUGCGAGUCGAGAGGUGAAAGACCUCGGCAUACUGCUCAGUAACACGUGGAUAAUCUGCCCUCAGAAGAAGAAUAAUCCCGGGAAACUGGGGCUAAUACUUCAUAGGAGACGGGUGCUGGAAUGCUCUGUCUCUGAAAGGUCUGCCGUCUGAGGAUGAGUCUGCGUCCGAUUAGGUUGUUGUUGGGGUAACGGCCCAACAAGCCUGUGAUCGGUACGGGUUGUGGGAGCAAGAGCCCGGAGAUGGAUUCUGAGACAUGAAUCCAGGCCCUACGGGGCGCAGCAGGCGCGAAAACUUUACAAUGCGAGCAAUCGUGAUAAGGAAACCCUGAGUGCCUGUCAACGCAGGCUGUUCUGGUGUCUAACACACACCAGGAGAAAGGGCGGGGCAAGACCGGUGCCAGCCGCCGCGGUAAUACCGGCUGCUCGAGUGAUAGCCACUUUUACUGGGCUU